AGCAGUCGCCGCGGGAAAACGUAGGUCCCGAGCGUUGUCCGGAUUUAUUGGGCGUAAAGGGAGCGCAGGCGGUUUAGUAAGUCUGAAGAUAAAGGCAUUGGCUCAACCAAUGUAUGCUUUGGAAACUGUUAGACUUGAGUGCAGAAGGGGAGAGUGGAAUUCCAUGUGUAGCGGUGAAAUGCGUAGAUACCGGGAGGAACGCCGAUGGCGAAGGCAGCCACCUGGUCCACUUCUGACGCUGAGGCGCGAAAGCGUGGGGAGCAAACCGGAUUAGAGACCCCAGUAGUCCCUGUCUCUUAUACA
rnacentral:rRNA from 1 species